UACAGCCAUAUUACGUUGAAACAUCAGUUCCCGUAUGAUCACCGAAGUUAAGCAAAGUCGAAUCUGGUCAGUACCUAGAUCAGUCACCGCCUUGAAAUACCAGGUGUUGUAUG